AGUGAAGCGGGAAGAGCUCAAAUUUGAAAUCUGGUAGCCUUCGGUUGCCCGAGUUGUAAUCUAGAGAAAUGUUUUCCGUGCCGGCCCAUGUACAAGUCCCUUGGAACAGGGCGUCAUAGAGGGUGAGAAUCCCGUCCUUGACAUGGACCCCCGGUGCUUUGUGAUACAUUUUCAACGAGUCGAGUUGUUUGGGAAUGCAGCUCAAAAUGGGUGGUGAAUUCCAUCUAAAGCUAAAUAUUGGCGAGAGACCGAUAGCGAACAAGUACCGUGAGGGAAAGAUGAAAAGCACUUUGGAAAGAGAGUUAAACAGUACGUGAAAUUGUUGAAAGGGAAACGAUUGAAGUCAGUCAUGCUCUUUGGUAUUUAUAUCAUUGAGUGGGGUCAACAUCAGUUUUGAUCGAUGGAUAAAGGCACUAGGAAGGUAGCACUCUCGGGUGAACUUAUAGCCUAGCGUCAUAUACAUUGAUUGGGACUGAGGAACGCAGCAUGCCUUUAUGGCCGGGAUUCGUCCACGUACAUGCUUAGGAUGUUGACAUAAUGGCUUUAAACGACCCGUCUUGAAA
rnacentral:rRNA from 1 species